rnacentral:rRNA from 1 species
UCGCUAGUAAUCGCGAAUCAGAAUGUCGCGGUGAAUACGUUCCCGGGUCUUGUACACACCGCCCGUCACACCAUGGGAGUUGGUAACACCCGAAGUCUGUAGCCUGACGCAAGAGGGCGCAGCCGAAGGUGGGAUUGAUGACUGGGGUGAAGUCGUAACAAGGUACC